UGGGGAAUAUUGGACAAUGGAGGCAACUCUGAUCCAGCAAUUCUGUGUGUGUGAAGAAGGUUUUAGGACUGUAAAACACUUUUAGUAGGGAAGAAAGAAAUGACGGUACCUACAGAAGAAGCGACGGCUAAAUACGUGCCAGCAGCCGCGGUAAUACGUAUGUCGCGAGCGUUAUCCGGAAAUAUUGGGCUUAAAGGGCAUCUAGGCGGUUAAACAAGUUGAAGGUGAAAACCUGUGGCUCAACCAUAGGCUUGCCUACAAAACUGUAUAACUAGAGUACUGGAAAGGUGGGUGGAACUACACGAGUAGAGGUGAAAUUCGUAGAUAUGUGUAGGAAUGCCGAUGAUGAAGAUAACUCACUGGACAGCAACUGACGCUGAAGUGCGAAAGCUAGGGGAGCAAACAGG
rnacentral:rRNA from 1 species